UUCUACGGGGGGCAGCAGUGGGGAAUAUUGCACAAUGGGCGCAAGCUGAUGCAGCGACGCCGCGUGAGGGAUGACGGCCUUCGGGUUGUAAACCGCUUUCAGCUCGGACGAAGCGCAAGUGACGGUACGAGCAGAAGAAGGACCGGCCAACUACGUGCCAGCAGCCGCGGUAAU
rnacentral:rRNA from 1 species